ACGCCUGUUGGCAGGGAUUCAGAGGUCGCCGAACGGCCGGCCACUUGUAAUCAGGCUCGGAGGCGCCUUUUUCAAAAAAGAUCUCCAGUAGGGAUUUGAAUACGCUAAAUUCUGAUUUUGCUGGCGUCUCACAACUCUUUGCCAACCGAAAUUAUGGGCUUGGCAGCCCGAGAGAGAGUCGGACCGUUUAUUUAUGAAGAAAAGUCCCCUAGGUGAAGGGUCAACCCGGCCGCGCGGUUUCUGAAAGUCCUAGGGGUGCAAUAUAUGAAGGACAUUCGAAGUUUCGUUCGACAGUGGGUAGUUGUAAAAAACGACGCUUGUGACACGAACGAUUGACCAUGCCCUGACGGGAAAGGAUAACCCCCCCACCCGCAUACCAGGCAGCGGGGCUGGAGGAGCCUGUGAUGGGGGCACCCCAAGGAAAGAUUACGGGAUCGGUAUCAGAGGGAAUGGAGGAGAUAUGCCUGAGAGAGAAGCGCGGGACAACUUAUGAUUUUACUUUAUAACUGUAUCUCUCAUUUCUAAUCCUUCCCAUUUCGGGCCUCAGAAUGUGAGGGCUGAGGUGCAGAGACCCCCUAGUUGUGUAUUUUUUUUCUUUCCCGUUCAAAUUGACAACAGGUAAAUUUGUGCUUUUAUGCUGCAGUUAGAGAUUGUGAAGUGCUAUAUGCCUCGAGACUCAAGAGACUAUUGUUCACUCAAGAGAUUCCUAGCCAUCAUCUGGUAUUCCUAAAUGGCUUCGAUUGGUCUCGACGGCCACUGUUCACAAUGAUAAGCCAGUUACCACUGCCCAUGUCCGUACUUGACAGCUGUAAAAUGGAUGUGGGUUUUUAUUGGUCAAGUGAAGGUGACUGGUUAGCCAAUGACGGGUAAGAUUCCUCGAGCGAGGGACAACCUAAGACAGGCACAGUCGUGCAUUGACCUUCAGAAUAGUGGCCUGUGGUCAUGUGGUUUUAACAGAUGCCUGGCUUUUGUAUCCGUGUCAGGAAUCUGGUCAAGUUUCUGGCUUGCAAAGCAGCUUGAUAUAAGGAAAAUCGUGGACCCAGCAGUUUGACAUUGUAUUCACUGUAUUUUUGACAAAGGAAAAUGCCAGUUUUGUGGCAUCUUCCAGAACCGACUUAACAACAAACCUUUGGGAAGGAAGGAGAGCUCAUUGAAUCCUAUUACAAAAAAGAUUUGACACUAUGUCAGUAGUUUGAAAAUUUAUUUUAAGAUGUCAUGGUAUAAUAUGACCGAUUUUACUGGGAGGUUGUACAAUUGGGUGUUCUUUGGACAGCAGACCUUCAUUCUGCAGGCGUCCUAACUCAUCCACUUUGUGUUUUCCUCUGGUUCUCUUCGCUUUUGUUAUCAUACUCAGUAAUCGUUUUGUUGGUUUUGAGAUGGCUUUUUGUAGAUGUUUACGACUUUUGAGUGCUUAUGUCUGUUAUGUAUUAUUUCACUGCUUCUCGUGCCUUAACGAUUGUAUGCGAACUGGAGCGGCGCCUAGAGUAGGGAUUUUUUGCGACGCGGAUUGCUUUGUGAGGUUGUAUGCUGCUUAGGGACUCCUAUCCCCUAUAACUAUGUCUCCCUAGAGUCAGACAAGCCGGGUUUAGCUAAUUGGUCGGUCUUGCAAAGGAGCAACGGAGGGGCGCUCACCGACCGUCCGGGUCCUGACUGCUGCGCGCGAACUGCUGUAUUUCGAGGCCAAGGGAAGGAGUCGUGGAAUCCAUUAUUAAAGUUAGGUUGUGUUAAGAAACUUUAUUGUUAGGUAGUGCUCACGUAAGGUAGUAUUAGCAAGUCUGGAAAUUGUUAGCUAAACUAGACAGCAGUAGACCAUUAUGUUACACUAGGAGCAGACUGAAAAGCUGAUGGCAUAGCCUGAAGAGGCCCCAGGGAGGGUGAAAAGAUAACAGGACAUUGGAACCGUGUUAAAAUGCACGUAGCUCAAACUGAGGUAACAGAAUGUUAUCAGCUCGGGACCAAUGCCAUACCAGUAUACCGCAUCUUACCAAAUAAGGAUGUAGCAUUGAGAUGCAAGGGGCUAAAAGAGCUAGACAAAGAGAAAUAUAGUUAGAAGGCGCCAUCUCCAGUGAGCUGAAAACCUCACUGUAUUUGUGUACGGCUCUCUCUCAUUAAAACAGCUUAUAUUUUGAA